UACGUAGGGUGCGAGCGUUAUCCGGAAUCAUUGGGCGUAAAGAGCUCGUAGGCGGUUUGUCGCGUCGGCCGUGAAAACCUACAGCUUAACUGUGGGCUUGCGGUCGAUACGGGCAGACUUGAGUUCGGCAGGGGAGACUGGAAUUCCUGGUGUAGCGGUGAAAUGCGCAGAUAUCAGGAGGAACACCGGUGGCGAAGGCGGAUCUCUGGGCCGAUACUGACGCUGAGGAGCGAAAGCGUGGGGAGCGAACAGGAUUAGAUACCCU
rnacentral:rRNA from 1 species